GACCAAUUGGCCUAGUGGUUAUGGCAUCUGUCUUACAGUUUACAUAUAUGUAGGCAUCACAGAAGAUCCCAGGUUCAAUCCCUGGAUUGGUCA